rnacentral:rRNA from 1 species
AACGAACGCUGGCGGCAUGCCUAACACAUGCAAGUCGAACGAGCCCUUCGGGUCUAGUGGCGCACGGGUGCGUAACGCGUGGGAACGUGCCCUUAGGUUCGGAAUAACUCCCCGAAAGGGGUGCUAAUACCGGAUAAUGUCUUCGGACCAAAGAUUUAUCGCCUUAGGAUGGGCCCGCGUUGGAUUAGCUAGUUGGUAGGGUAAAAGCCUACCAAGGCGACGAUCCAUAGCUGGUCUGAGAGGAUGAUCAGCCACACUGGGACUGAGACACGGCCCAGACUCCUACGGGAGGCAGCAGUGGGGAAUAUUGGACAAUGGGCGAAAGCCUGAUCCAGCCAUGCCGCGUGAGUGAUGAAGGCCUUAGGGUUGUAAAGCUCUUUUACCCGGGACGAUAAUGACAGUACCGGGAGAAUAAGCCCCGGCUAACUCCGUG